UACAGAGGGGGCAAGCGUUGUUCGGAAUUACUGGGCGUAAAGCGCGCGUAGGCGGCCCGGUAAGUCCGUUGUGAAAGUCAAAGGCUCAACCUUUGAACGCCGAUGGAUACUGCCGGGCUAGAGUCCGGAAGAGGCGAGUGGAAUUCCUGGUGUAGCGGUGGAAUGCGCAGAUAUCAGGAGGAACACCAAUAGCGAAGGCAGCUCGCUGGGACGGUACUGACGCUGAGGCGCGAAAGCGUGGGGAGCGAACAGG
rnacentral:rRNA from 1 species